rnacentral:lncRNA from 1 species
CAUGCAAUGUGGGAUCUGCCGAUGGUGAUGCUGCCUACGUUUACUCCUCUCCUCCUCCGCCGUAUGAGUACAAAUCGCCGCCACCUCCUUCCCCUUCCCCACCUCCUCCUUAUCUUUACAAGUCGCCGCCACCUCCUUCACCGUCUCCUCCUCCUCCUCCUUAUGUGUACAAGUCACCGCCACCUCCUUCACCGUCCCCACCACCACCAUACGUGUACAAGUCGCCACCACCACCUUCCCCGUCUCCGCCACCACCAUAUGAGUACAAGUCGCCGCCACCACCUUCCCCGUCUCCACCACCACCAUAUGAGUACAAAUCUCCUCCUCCACCAUCACCGUCACCUCCCCCCCCUUACCACCACUCCUCUCCACCACCACCUUCGCCAUCUCCUCCUCCACCUUACCACGACUCCUCUCCACCACCACCUUCGCCAUCUCCUCCUCCACCUUACCACGACUCCUCUCCACCACCACCUUCGCCAUCUCCUCCUCCACCUUACCACGACUCCUCUCCACCACCACCUUCGCCAUCUCCUCCUCCACCUUACCACGACUCCUCUCCACCACCACCUUCGCCAUCUCCUCCUCCACCUUACCACGACUCCUCUCCACCACCACCAUAUGAGUACAAAUCUCCUCCUCCACCAUCACCGUCACCUCCCCCACCUUACGAGUACAAGUCUCCUCCUCCUCCUUCACCGUCACCACCGCCACCAUACUACUACAAGUCACCGCCGCCACCAUCACCCUCUCCUCCUCCACCAUACUACUAUAAAUCUCCACCACCACCUUCUCCAUCUCCGCCGCCACCUUACCACUACUCUUCUCCACCACCACCUAAGAAAUCACCUCCACCACCAUACUACUACAAAUCUCCACCACCACCUUCGCCAUCUCCUCCUCCACCUUACCACUACUCCUCUCCACCACCACCUAAAAAAUCACCUCCACCACCAUACUACUAUAAGUCUCCACCACCACCUUCACCAUCUCCUCCACCACCGUACUACUAUAAGUCUCCGCCGCCACCAUCACCCUCUCCUCCACCACCAUACUAUUAUAAAUCCCCACCACCACCUUCACCAUCUCCUCCACCGCCGUACUACUACAAGUCCCCACCACCACCUUCUCCGUCUCCUCCACCACCAUAUUACUACAAAUCUCCACCACCGCCAUCACCAUCACCUCCACCACCAUACUACUACAAAUCUCCACCACCGCCAUCACCAUCACCUCCACCACCAUACUACUACACAUCCCCAAAUCUCCACCACCGCCAUCACCAUCACCUCCACCACCAUACUACUACAAAUCCCCUCCACCUCCGGCGAAAUCUCCCCCACCACCUCCGUACUAUUACAAGUCUCCGCCGCCACCUAAGGCUUACCCUC